rnacentral:rRNA from 1 species
UACGUAGGGUGCGAGCGUUGUCCGGAAUUAUUGGGCGUAAAGGGCUCGUAGGCGGUCUGUCGCGUCGGGAGUGAAAACUUACAGCUUAACUGUGAGCGUGCUUCCGAUACGGGCAGACUUGAGGUAUUCAGGGGAGAACGGAAUUCCUGGUGUAGCGGUGAAAUGCGCAGAUAUCAGGAGGAACACCGGUGGCGAAGGCGGUUCUCUGGGAAUAUCCUGACGCUGAGGAGCGAAAGUGUGGGGAGCAAACGGG